CGGUCGGCAGUUCACCCAGGCGUCGCCUCCCCUGUUGGGGUGCUAAACCUGCCU
rfam:Rhodospirillum photometricum DSM 122 draft genome sequence